UUUAAAAAUAAAACUCCUGGAGUAGCCCAAGUCUUCCCAGCUCUCUACUUCGAAAGCUAACGUGGCUUUGAGCAGUGCCGAUACUGGAGUUGACUGGGACUUUUCCUGCUUCCCUCUGUGGGAUGAUUCUGGCCAACUUGGAGCCCAGGUGGCUUGUGUGGAUUGGGACCCAAAGGCAAAUUUGAACUUGAGAACCAAGGCGUUUUGGAAGAUGCGUGCCCUCCUAUGAGCUUCCAGUGCGACCCUCACACAGAGCACUUCUGCCAAUGGGUGUGGCGUUGAUGUUUCUUUGAAAGCAAAUCCGUGCUGCAGUCAGAGCUGAGGAUGGCGCAGGCCUGGCUACCAAGGACCCGGAUGUAGAGAGGGCAGUUUCACCAUUGAAGACACGGCUCAUGGAAAAAUCAACCUGUCAGGACAGGUGGCUUUAGUGUACUGGGUACUGCAGGGGCACAGGGUCUCCCAGCCACAUAGACCAAAGCGUCCAGGACCCUGGCUACGGAUGCACAUAGGAGGCAGGGUUCACGCCCACUGGGUAACGCACUUGACACAGAUCCACGGGUCUGACGCCAGCUUCCCACUUUCUUUCACUCUAUCGUGGAUUCAUUCUGAGCCUAGAAUGCACCAAGUACUGUUGGCAGCACCUGGAGUACAAGAGCGAACGCAACAUCAAGCGCUUGCCCUUGGGGAACCUGCAUCCUAACCAGGGAAUCAGAGAAUAAGCAAGCGAGUAGACAGAUAUGGAACGAGUUGUAGGAGGAGACGAGCGUUAUGACGACACAGUGGGCAGGGAGACUGAGCGAGGGUGGGGAAGCUGCGUCAGACCCUGCCAGUCCUCCGAGUGCAUAAACUAUUUCAUUCCUUGGGGCAAAAUACUUUGAAUAUUCUUCGAGGUCCUGCGAGAUCCGACCACCCUUCCCACGACCUCUCUGCCCUCACCUCCUCCUUCUCCUUCCUCCCCUCCCCUCACCAGUGACUCUGACCGAGAUGCUGCGUCUGGAAUGUGCUGCUGCCAAGCCCAGGAGAGUCUCAGCCAGCCUCCUGCCAGGCACGUUCCUUCCGGGGAGGGUUUUCUCCAGCAAUCUCCUGCCUGAGCUGCUCUCGCCCAAGCAUGCUCUUCCCUCCCCGCUUCGCCUCAUUCAUGUCUUCACUCGGAUUUCACCUGAUUUUUAAUUACUUACUUAUUUUUUUAAAGACUUACUUAUUUGAAAAAGUUACAGGGAGAGGGAGAGACACUCAGAAAGAGAGAGAUAUCUUCCAUUGCUUGUUCACUCCCACAUGGCCACGAUGACUGGAGCUGGGGCUGAGCCAAAGCCAGGAGCCAGGAGCCAAAUGCUCCUUCUGGGUCGCCCAUGUGGAUGGCAGGAGUUCAGGUCCUUGGGCCAUCCUCCACUGCUUUCCUAGGUGCAUUAGCAGGAAGCGGGAUCACAAGUGGAGCAGCUAGGACUCAAACCAGCACCCGUACAAGAUGCUGUGACACGAUGCAGGCACCUAGAUUUCUUGAGAUUUGCCCCACGCCAUAGAUGAUAUGCAAUCUGCUAUCCUAUCCCCAGUUCCACAUCUACAAUAUCUCUUACGCUAUGAACCUUUCUUCUGUAACUUACCACAUCCAACGCAUCCCAUCACAUACUUGGCAUCCUUUGGUGCGUCUGCUUCAUCACUCGACUCGUCAGACCCCAUGCUGCAGUCACUGGACACUUUAGCUUGUGCCUACAAAGAGCCAUAAACUUCUGGGAGUUUGCAUCCACAGAUGGUGGGCCUCCUCGGGCAAUGACUAAUAAGGGCCAAAGAGCCCUUAUUAUAAGGGCCAGCUUCCUGGCCCGGAUGAAUCCAGACAUAAAGGACACUCCAAAGUUCUGCAGGAUCCAACCAAAGCUUUGCUCCCAGGAAUUUCACCUGCAAUCAUAUCUUUGCUUUACUUCUGCCCCUUCCCUCCUUUCCUGGUCGACUCUAACCCUCACUGGGUUCUCCUGGAAACAUUCCUUGAGACAUGGCUUCCCCCAAAUCCUCAUCUCAGAAUCUUCUGAGGAAGUAGUCUUGGACUAAGGAGCAGCCGUAGGAGGAACAGGGGUGGGUCAGCCCAUGGAGCAGGAAGGAGGGCGGAGUGUCAGGUUAGAUGGGUGGUGAGUCUGGGAGAGGGAAGAGAGGGAGGGUGCCUUCUGGGUGUUUCUAUGGUGUCAGUCACGUGGAAAACAAGGUCUCCAGUUGGGAGGGGAGGAAUGCUGCAGGAUUUGAGGAGAUGUCUGGGAGAGGGAAAGAAUGAGUUCCCCGAGAAAACGUGGCCAGUCCUGCUCCUGCUUUAACUCAACAUUUGCGUCUAGGUGGCUCGAGUUUUUGAGAACUCGGUGAAUAUGGCAAAUCCCGCUGCCAAAGCACCGGUUUCACCCACGGAGGAAGGUAACAAGAACACAGAAGUGCUGAGGGAGUGUCUGCGGCUGACGUUGCCUUGUGUCUCCCAACAGAGCAGCUGGCACCACCACGAGUUAAACGUUUCUCUCUGUGACAUCAUCACCGCUCACGCAGAGGCUGGACAUGAUGGGGAAACCUCACGUGCCUCUGGAAUGACUGGAAUGAGGAAGAAGUCUCCCAUCUCCUGUCUGAACACACAGUCUGUGUGCUUUUUUAAUUCCUAAUAGCAUGGACUCAUCCCUUUCCCCAUCUCAGUUAGAAAUAGUUUAUCAAUAUGAUGUAUGUUCCAGUGUUUAUCCAGGUAUCUGCACAGCCAACUCUCCAGCAGCCCUGCUGUUGGUUAAUCAUGCUCCUUCCAGCCCUCAAGGAGGCAGAGUGGACAGUGAGAGAGAGAGACAGAGAGAAAGGUCUUCCUUUUCUGUUGGUUCAUCCCCUCAAUGGCCACUGCGGCUGGCGCACUGCGCUGAUCCGAAGCCAGGAACCAGGUGCUUCUCCUAGUCUCCCAUGCGGGUGCAGGGCCCCAGGACUUGGGCCAUCCUCCACUGCACUCCUGGGCCACAGCAGAGAGAUGGACAGGAAGAGGAGCGACUGGGACAGAAUCCGACCAGGACUAGACCCAGUGUGCCGAUGCCGCAGGCUGAGGAUUAGCCUAGUGAGCCAUGGCGCCAGCCAACACACAAUUAUUCUUAGGUGUUUAAAUUUAACUGAAAAGUGAUCCCUAUUAAAUAUAAGAGUGGGAAAAAGAGAGGGAGGAGAUGUACAGUUAAGCACAUGCUCACUCGGACUUACCUCUAAUGGUAGAGUUAGAAACUUGCCAGGGGAUUCCAAUUCAAUUCCAUCAAGGUGGCAUGUACCAAUGCCAUCUCACUAGUCAAAGUGAUCAGUUUCAGUUCAAAAUUAUAUGAUAUUAUAUUUUCAGUUCAAAAUCAUAAUGAUGGGAUUAAGUGUCAAAGGGAUCACAUAAACAAGACUAGUGUCUGCUAAUACUAACUGAUAGAAUAAAAAAGGAGAGAACAAUCCAACAUGGGAAGCGGGAUACACAGCAGACUCUUAGAAUGGCAGAUGUCCUAAACAGCACUCUGGCCUCAGAAUCAGCCCUUAAGGCAUUCAGAUCUGGCUAAAAAAGCCCAUGAGAGUAUUUCAGGCACGGAAAGCCAAGACACUCUGGCAAAAAAAGAAAAAAUGAAAAGAUCUCUGUGAGUGAGAUCCCAGUGGAAAGAACGGGCCAUCAAAGAAGAAGGUACCUUUCUCUGAAGGGAGGAGAGAACUUCCACUUUGACUAUGGCCUUGUCUAAAUAAGAUCAGAGUUGUCAACCUCAAGAGGCUUCCAUAGCCUUGGCAGCUCAUGACAAGAGCCUCGGGUGAUUACUGACACCAUAAAUAAGAGUGUCAAUUGUUAAAUCAACAAUGGGAGUCACUGUGCACUUACUCCCCAUGUAGGAUCUCUGUCCUUAAUGUGUUGUACUAUGUGAAUUAUGGUAUAACUAGUACUCAAACAGUACUUUAUACUUUGUGUUUCUGUGUGGGUGCAAACUGUUGAAAUCUUUACUUAGUAUAUAAUAAAUUGAUCUUCUGUAUAUAAAGAUAAUUGAAAAUGAAUCUUGAUGAAGAAUGGGAUGGGAGAGGAAGUGGGAGAUGGGAUGGUUGUGGGUGGAGGGUGGUUAUGGAGGGAAAAAGCCGCUGU